rnacentral:lncRNA from 10 species
GAGGCGGGGCUUCGGGAGGUGGAAAUCCUAACACGGAAGCGUUGGUGUUAGGAGGCGGGAGUUCGGGAGGUAGAAAUCCUAACACGGAAGUGUUGGUGUUAGGAGGCGGGAGUUCGGGAGGUGGAAAUCCUAACACAGAAGUGUUGGUGUUAGGAGGCGGGGCUUCGGGAGGUGGAGAUCCGAACACGGAAGUGUUGGUGUUAGGAGGCGGGAGUUCGGGAGGUGGAAAUCCUAACACGGAAGUGUUGGUGUUAGGAUGCGGAGCUUCGGGAGGUGGAGAUCCGAACACGGAAGUGUUGGUGUUAGGAGGCGGGCUUCGGGAGGUGAUGACAUAGUGAAGAUGGAGACCUCACAAAUGGGACUAGGGUCCUUCCGGAAGGCCCUCAGAGAGCUCCCUCACCCCUCAGGACGUGAGGAUGCAGUGAGAGGCGCCAUCUAGGAGGCGCGAAGGGCACCUCACCAGACACCAAAUCUGCCUGGAUCGUGGACUUCCAGCCUCCGGAACUGUGAGAAACAAAUCUCUGUGGUUCACAGGAUUCUCCGCUGAUGAUGUGUCUGAGACGCAGAGUGAGGCUGAGAUCUCCUCAGGAAGCAUACCAUCCUUUUAAUUGGACUAACAUGAUGGAACUUCAAAGAACUCACCAGCUGCUCAGUGUAUAUCAUUGAUCCAACGCAAUAUGUAUGCAAGGUCACAAGCACUGUGAGCAAGCCACAGCCGUGAGACUCGAAGAGCUGGACACCUGAGGAGGUGAUUGAAGCAGAAGUUUCUCCACUUCUGCAUUCCAAGACGAUAGAAGCAACAGUGCGGGAUUUGACGGGACCCAACCUUGUGCGGCUGAUGGACUGGGAGAAGAGUCUCUGGAUCUGGAACCCUGCUGUGUCCACACCAGGUGCCGGAGUCGGCACCCACAGGCGAGAGUGAGGGUGAACUGGAGCCUCACACACAGGCUGAAGCCCACAGGACAAAGGGGAAGCUGUCAGCUCCCACCAUCUCUGUUCUCAAGUGUCUUGCAACAGAGGCUGACAUCCUUUGUCCCAGAGAAAACAUACCGAGCCCACGUGUGUGAGUGGUGGCUGGAAGCCUCAAUGCUCCUCAUGAUCCUCUGCUGUCUGUCAUGGAUAAUCAGCCCUGGGGUUCUGAUCUGUUCUGUCUUGCAACACAGCCAAGUAAGGGGAAAGUGCUUUUGGUCCUGGCCCAGGAGUUGGUGA